rnacentral:rRNA from 1 species
AUUGAACGCUGGCGGCAUGCUUUACACAUGCAAGUCGAACGGUAACAGGCCGCAAGGUGCUGACGAGUGGCGAACGGGUGAGUAAUGCAUCGGAACGUGCCCAGUCGUGGGGGAUAACUACUCGAAAGAGUAGCUAAUACCGCAUACGAUCUAUGGAUGAAAGCGGGGGACCGUAAGGCCUCGCGCGAUUGGAGCGGCCGAUGUCAGAUUAGGUAGUUGGUGGGGUAAAGGCUCACCAAGCCAACGAUCGGUAGCUGGUCUGAGAGGACAACCAGCCACACUGGGACUGAGACACGGCCCAGACUACUACGGGAGGCAGCAGUGGGGAAUUUUGGACAAUGGGCGCAAGCCUGAUCCAGCAAUGCCGCGUGCAGGAAGAAGGCCUUCGGGUUGUAAACUGCUUUUGUACGGAACGAAACGGCUCUGGUUAAUACCCGGGGCUAAUGACGGUACCGUAAGAAUAAGCACCGGCUAACUACGUG